rnacentral:lncRNA from 1 species
CUCUACGUAUACUGCUGCCACUGCAACCAAUCAUCGGCGAGUUGAAGGUAGUGUCUUCUCUCUCAAUCUCUCUACAUGUAUAUACAUCUAUGUGUAGUAUAGAGUAUAUAUAUGUGAGUAACUGAGCUUGUACUCCAACUGUUUGAUAGAAUGGCCCGCUUAUAAAUUGCUUUAUGAAUUGUGCUGAUACCGUCAAUAAAAGUUCAACAGGUUCUUCAGCCGGUCAUAUAAGUUUUAUUUUCAUAUUUGAUGCAUCUCUUUUAAUAUUGAUCUUAGUUGCUGAUUGAAUAGUUAUGUAGAGAGAUGCCUGCUUAGCGGCAAACAGGGUGCUUCUGCUUGUUGGUGGUUCUUUUCGCCUGAGAAAAGUUUCUGGGUUCUCGUGGGUAGCUCUAGUUCGUAGUAGUGUGAGGUUUUUUGGUCGUUUUAGUAAUGAAAGUGGGCCUUAUCACAACUUGGAUCUUCAGCUAUGGCUUCUCCUCUUUAUACCCAGAUUGAUUUUGAUUCAGCUGGAAAUUCAGUUGACUCUGAAAACCAAAUCAAAGAAAGAAAUGAGGAAGGAUAAAUUACAAAACAAUAAGAAGAGAGGAAGAUGGAAAUUGAAUUGAAAUUCAAUCCACUUAGCAACAAAGAUUCCAGAGAUUAUAGAUUGUAUAAAUAUUUAUAUACACCAACAAUGAGAGUGUUCUCCCAAUUUGCGAAAUAGAAAAAAGCAUAAAAGGCCUAAUUACAAUUAAUAUAAUGCCCAAAACGACGUCACCUCCACUUCAAGUAUCAAUUAAUCCAGUUAGCUUCCUUAUUCUUCCUCAUUGAUCUGGUCUUUUUCGUUCCCCAUUGAUUUCUCUAUUGAUUCUUCUCUUGACAACCCUUUCCCUCACUUUGAUCUUGUCUCCAAGAUCUGUAGAGAGGAAAUUUUUAUUUUAUCCAUUCAGCAUCCUCCCACUUUGAACUGUCUGUGGGUAAAUCUGACCAUUUAAUAAGCCAUUAUUUUGCUGUGUGAUUUCGUUUGGUUACCACUCUGGUUUGUAAUAUGGCUUGAGGAAGUUGUUAUGGUUGGUAUAGGUGAGUUUCAUCUGGUAACUGCAAUACUUUCAUUGCUCUAUCACCCAAUUUUUUCUUCAACAGUGAGACAUGGAAGACCUGGUGGAUUUUGGAAGUGGCUGGGAGAGAUAACUGAUAAGCCACUGUGCAUAUUUCCUUGAUAACCUGGUAGGGACAAAAAUACCUUGUCCUCAAUUUAUAAUUCUACCUGUGCUCCAUGGAUUGUUGCUUGUAGGGGUGGAGUUUGAGGAAGACCUAAUCGUGCGCAUCAAAAGACCUUUCGGACCUAUUCUUAUAUGCAUAGAAUUUCAUUCUGACGCUUGUGAAAGAUUCUCCUUCAACUACUAAUUUAAUUCAUAUCUUUGUUGAAGCCACUCUUCCACAGCUGCAACAUUUGACUGCUGUUAUGAUCCUGAGACUAUUGAGGUAGCUUGGUUCCAUAAAGGGCUUUAAAGAGAGUCAUUCUUAUGGAGGAAUGGUAAGACGUAUUAUACCACCACUAUGCCAAUGAAAACCAUCUUUCCCACUGUUUAGGAUGUUCAUAUGUCAUGGACCUUAAGUACGUCUCUAGUAAUUGAUUGAGUCUUUCAGUUUGUCCAUCUGAUUAAGGGUGAUAAAUAGAGCUUAAGUGGAAUUGUGUACCCAUGAGUUGAAAUAGUUCCUGCCAAAACUUGUGUUGUAGUGAUUAUUAUUCUCGACAUCACGUUCUUUGAAAAUAAACCAUACUUCCAUAGAACCUCUCUUCAAGGGGAAAAUGUAAGUGAAAAUCGAUACCUAAACUUAGAUCUUUUCCCUCUGGAAGUCAACAUACCACCUAGUCCUUCUAUGCAAUUUACAGGAUGAAACUUGAAUUAGGGAUAGAUGCAAAAAAACAAAGUGGCAAGAAAAUACUUGUUUACUCACGAAAACAAAAAACAAGGCAUGAGGAGAACCUUACACCCGAAGCACCAAGAAAGUCAAAAUCAAUGAUAGUUCCAUUGGAACCAAUAAAAGUCUCGAAAUCUCAUGACACCACAAAUAUACUAGAAUCAUCAAACAUUAACCUACCCUUCGCACUCCUAAAAAAAUUCGAUCACGUACUCUCCAUCAUAUCUCAAAAUUCAUGUCGCAUAAUGCUUUACCUACAGGAUUUCGAAGUUUCACCUCCCAUCUUAACAGUACCAAAAUUCCAAGAGAUAUUCAAGAAACUUUGGGAAUUCCAUAAUGGAGAGAAAUGGUGAUGGAGGAAAUGCAAGCGUUGGAAAAAAUGAAACUUGGGAGUGACGGAUUUGCCAAUAGGAAAAAGACCAGUUGGGUAUAAAUGUGUCUUCAACUUAAAAUAUAAAGUAUAUGAACAGUAGAAUGGUAUUAAACUAGGCUAGUUGCAAAAGGAUAUACCCAUACCUAUGUCAUUGACUAUACAGAAAAAUUUGCACCUGUGGCUAAAUUAAAUACAGUUCGAAUAUUCUUGUCGUUAGCAACAAACUUGGAUUGGCCUAUCCAACAACUGAACAUUAAGAAUGAAAUUUUAAAUGGAGAACAGGAAGAAGAAGAAGUUUACAUGACUAUAUUACCAAGUUUUUGCAAGGUAAACGAAAAGAAUAGGGUAUGCAAACUCAAGACGUCCUUGUAUAUACUAAAGCAAUCACUUAAAGCAUGGUUUGACAUAUUUGCAAAAGUACUGAAGAGACUAGGAUACCAAUAAGUGCAGUCAAAUCACACUGUGUUCCUCCAACAGUUUGAUGAUGGGACUAAGACAAUCUUAAUUGUAUAUGCUGAUGACAUAAUCCUGAUAGGAGAUAACACAGUGGAGUGGAAAUGGAGAAACUUAAGGAGAAUCUAGCCACUGAAUUUGAAGUAAAAGAUCUGGAACAAAUGCAAUACUUCUUAGGAACGGAAGUAGCCAGGUCAAAAAGGGGCAUUAGCGAUUCAUAGAGAAAGUACGUUUUUGACCUUCUCACUGAAAUAGGAAUGCUUAGAUGUAAACCAGGUAAUAUACCAACUGAUACGAGUAAUAAAAUCGAGAUACCUACAGUGCAGCAGACACAGAUAGAUAUCAAUGACUAGUAGGUAAGCUAAUCUACUUGUCACACACUAAACUUGACAUUGCAUUUGCAGUUAGCAUGAUAAGUCAACAUAUGCACUCUCUGAAGGAAGUUCAUCUCGAAGCUGUCUGUAAAAUACUCAGAUAUCUCAAGGGUUCAUCAGAGAAGGGACUAUUCUUCAAAAAGCAUAAAAUGAAAGACGAAGUCUUCAUGGAUGCCGACUGGAUGGGUUCUAUGAAAGAUAGAAGAUCAACUACCAAAUCUGCACUUUUGUAUGGGGAAAUCUAGAAACAUGAAGAAGCAAGAAAGGAGAAGCAAGAAACAAAUUGUAGUUGCCAGAUGCAGUACUAAAGCAGAGUUUAGAGCAAUAGCACAAAGAAUAUGUGAAGGAUUAUGGUUGAAGAAACUCCUAAAUGAGCUACGUAUUACUAUAAAAUUACCUGGUAAAUUAUAUUGUGACAAUAAAGCUGCUAUCAUCAUCUUUCUCAACCUAGUCCAACAUGAUCGGACAAAACAUAUUGAGGUUUAUCAAAGAAAAGGUAGAAGAAGAGACUAUUUGCAUGACAUAUGUUCCCACACAGGAGCAAGCUGCAAACAUUUUUAGUAAAGGGCUACCUUGAUCAAAAUUCGAUGAUCUUUCUCACAAGUUGGAUAUUAUUAAUAUUUGCAAUCCAACUUGAGGGGGAUUGUUGUAAUCCCGGAUAUGUGGAAAUAUUCCACCGUCCCUAAUUAGCAUUAUCUAUUUAGGAAAAUUAUAAUUCUUGCAAUUAGGGAAGAUUGCAGAAGAUUUUUGCAUUGAUUUAGGAAUAUUGUUUUUCCUUAUUAAACUAUUUUGUAUACUAUAUAAGGCUGUAAUUAGGGUGUAAUUAUUCGUUGAGAAAUAAAGAGGAAUUCUCUACAAUUCACAAAUACUCUACAAUUAACUACUUGCUUGUAAAGAUUUUAUCCUUGUCGGAUAUAAUGCUUUGUAGUAAUCCAUGAAGUUUAAACACAACAUCAAAGAAGCUUCUUGCAACUAUAACGGCUAGGAGAUAAUAAUGAAGUGCCCAUAUUUUGUAAAUCUAUCUAUUGCCACCAUAAUAAUAUCUUUACCCCUUGAAUUUGGCAAUCUUUCUAUGAAGUCCAUGCUGAUGUGACUCCAAGCAUGUAGCGACACUAGUAAGGGCCGAAGUAAUUCAGGGAACGGCACGUGCUCUCUUUUACAUUUCUGACAUAUUCACACUACAUCAUCUCCAUCUUUAUACCUUGAUUCAUCCCUAGCCAGUAGAAGUGUUGCUUGGCCCUAUAAAUGCUAUUGUGAAUUCUUGAAUGGCCUCCUUUUUUAGAUCCAUGAACAUUUUGGAUCAAAUUUGAUCUAAUUUUCCCUUUUGUUCCAAUAUAUAAUCUGCCG